CCUACGGGAGGCAGCAGUGAGGAAUAUUGGUCAAUGGACGGAAGUCUGAACCAGCCAUGCCGCGUGCAGGAAGACGGCUCUAUGAGUUGUAAACUGCGUUUGUACAAGGGUAAACCGGAAUACGUGUAUGCAGCUGAAAGUACGGUACGAAUAAGGAUCGGCUAACUCCGUGCCAGCAGCCGCGGUAAUACGGAGGAUCCAAGCGUUAUCCGGAUUUAUUGGGUUUAAAGGGUGCGUAGGCGGCUUGAUAAGUUAGAGGUGAAAUGUCCGCGCUUAACUCGGGAACUGCCUCUGAUACGGUUGAUCUAGAGCGUAGAUGCGGUAGGCGGAAUGUAUGUUGUAGCGGUGCAAUGCUUAGCGCUC
rnacentral:rRNA from 1 species